CAUGUUCCAUGCGGGCCUGGGAUGAUGGGCAUUGGAGUAGAAGGAGAGGCUCCCUCUGAGAUUGCUUGACUGCAGCAGGCAGCAAUUUCUAGGCUUUCCUGUUUUUGAACGUCUAAGAAAGAUCUGUGAUCUUGUAAAUAUUGAGAAAAUCUCUGUGGAGGCUGAAAAGGAACAGGAAGCCUCUCUUUGAAGCCCAGGUUGUUGUGUCACAUUGUGUCAUGUGGUUGUUGGCAAACUCAGCCCUGAAGUGAGGGAAGCUGAGGGCUGACAGAGUCACAGGAUAGGAAGUGAAGAGUAAAAGAAUUGAAGACUCCCAAGGUUUGAAGAGAUUAGUGUGGAUUUGGAGGUGACAGUGGAAGAACAGCAUCUCUGAUGUAGAGAUUUAUCUACAUUAAUGAAAUAAAGAAAUGGGGAAAUAGACCUAAGCAGCAAUUGAUAAAGAAUGGAAUUAACAUCUCUCGCCAAAAGCCUGGUUCUUCUCAGCCCAUUUUUCUCAGUCUUCUAUAAGGGAGAAAAUUGACAUAAUAGCUACAGAACCAAUAUUAGUGCCCUUUUACCAGUUUGAUCCAGAACCAUAAAUGAGCACUAUUUGAAUAAAUAGCUUUAAACUUG